rnacentral:rRNA from 1 species
UUAAGCAUAUUAAUAAGGGAAGGAAAAGAAAUUAACUAAGAUUCCCUGAGUAGCGGCGAGCGAAACGGGAAAAGCCCAGCACUAAGCCCUUCGGUCGUUCUGGCCGACAGGGGAUGCAGUGUAUGGAAAGCCUAUUAUCUUAUAUGACGGUGAUACGUUCAAGUCCAUCUUGAAUGGGGCCAUUAUACCCAUAGAGGGUGCCAGGCCCGUAGCAGCUAUUGCCAAUAUAAGAAGGUUUUUCCAAAGAGUCGUGUUGCUUGAUAGUGCAGCACUAAGUUGGUGGUAAACUCCAUCUAAGGCUAAAUAUAACCAUGAGACCGAUAGCGAACAAGUACCGUGAGGGAAAGUUGAAAAGUACUCUGAAUAGAGAGUUAAAUAGUACGUGAAACCGCUUAGGGAUUAAGCCCGAUGAACCUGAAUAUCCGAAUUGGGAAAUUCAAUACUAUUUUAGUAGCUUAUUCUGAAACCGGUGGCGGUAACAGGGCAAUAAGCAAAACAAUGGUAUGCACUUUUCCCAUUGUAGGACAUUGCGAUCCAUUAAUUUUAAUUUAGCAAAAGGCCCAAACGAUUUGUUCGUUCUGUCUGUGCUGGCUUUUGGUUGGCAUAUGAAUGAAGUCGUAAUUAUGGUGUCCUGCUAAAUAAUUGAUGGAGCUUAACGAUCAUGCCAAAUACACGCCAAGUGUUAUCACGGUUUUUUGUUCGCUUGCGAACAUAAGCGCAGUGAUCGCAUGUAUAUGAUCAGCGAUGCGUUAGAUUUGGGAUACCUUCGGGACCCGUCUUGAAACACGGACCAAGAAGUCUAACAUGUGUGCAAGUCAUUGGGUAUAUAUUGAUGAAACCUAAAGGCGUAAUUAAAAUGACUAUUAUUUUAUAAUGGGAUUACAAGUGAAAUUAAUGGUGCGCAAGUAUUGUUAAUUUUGUUUCUCCAUCCCGGGGCAUUCUAUACGAACAUGGUUAAAGCAAUUUGGCCCUCUGUUCAAGAGCGUACCUUGAGCAUACAUGCUGUGACCCGAAAGAUGGUGAACUAUACCUGACCAGGUUGAAGUCAGGGGAAACCCUGAUGGAGGACUGAAGCAGUUCUGACGUGCAAAUCGAUUGUCAGAGUUAGGUAUAGGGGCGAAAGACCUAUCGAACCAUCUAGUAGCUGGUUCCCUCCGAAGUUUCCCUUAGGAUAGCUGGUGCAAUGAGAAAUUAUAUAUAUAAUCUUAUCUGGUAAAGCGAAUGAUUAGAGGCUUUGGGGCCGAAACGACCUCAACCUAUUCUCAAACUUUAAAUGGGUAAGAACCUCAUCUUUCUUGAUCUGAAGAUAUAGAGGUUUAGAUAUAUUGUGCCCAGUGGGCCACUUUUGGUAAGCAGAACUGGCGCUGUGGGAUGAACCAAACGCGAUGUUACGGCGCCUAAAUUAAUGACUCAUAUUGAUACCAUGAAAGGCGUUGGUUGCUUAAAACAGCAGGGCGGUGGACAUGGAAGUCGUAAUCCGCUAAGGAGUGUGUAACAACUCACCUGCCGAAGCAACUAGCCCUUAAAAUGGAUGGCGCUCAAGUCAUAUGCCUAUACAUCGCCGCUAGAAUAAGCAAAUUUCUUCAAUAUUAUUGGUGAAAUUUAUAAAAUUCUAGUGAGUAGGAGGGUACAAUGGUGUGCGCAGAAGUGUUUGGCGUGAGCCUGCAUGGAGCCGCCAUUGGCACAGAUCUUGGUGGUAGUAGCAAAUAAUCGAAUGAGAUCUUGGAGGACUGAAGUGGAGAAGGGUUUCGUGUGAACAGUGGUUGAUCACGAGUUAGUCGGUCCUAAGCUCUAGGCGAAAGCUGUUCAAUUUAUGUUACAAAAAAUGUUGAAUGUUCUCAAUUAUUGAUGUACAUGUAAAUUAUACAAGAGCGAAAGGGAAUACGGUUCCAAUUCCGUAACCUGUUGAGUAUACGUUUGUUUAUUAAAAAUGGGUCUUAUUAUCACUCAUCCUGGCAACAGGAACAACCAUAGAGAAGCCUUCGAGAGAUAUUGGAAGAGUUUUCUUUUCUGUUGAACAAUCGUAUCACCAUGGAAGUCUUUCGCAGAGAGAUAUGGUGAAUGGAUUGGAAGAGCAUGACAUUUACUGUUGUGUCAGUAUGUUCUCCUUGGACCUUGAAAAUCUAUGGUGGGGCCACGCAAACAUCUCAACAGUCCGUACCGAUAUCCGCAGCCGGUCUCCAAGGUGAAGAGUCUCUAGUCGAUAGAAUAAUGUAGGUAAGGGAAGUCGGCAAAUUAGAUCCGUAACUUCGGGAUAAGGAUUGGCUCUGAAGAUUGAGAUAGUCGGGCUUGAUUGGGAAACAAUUAUAACGGUUUAUGUGCUCGUUCUGGGUAAUAUAGAACUGUGCUGUGUAAAAGCGGUCAGUUCGUUCCCCGGAUAGUAGAUUUCAUAGCCAAAUUGUGGAACUUUCUUGCUGUGCUGGCGGCCGGCUUUCAUCGGUUGGUCGUCGAAAACGAUUAUCAAUAAACAAUUAAUUCAGAACUGGCACGGACCAGGGGAAUCCGACUGUCUAAUUAAAACAAAGCAUCGUGUGGCCGGUCGACCCGUACAGACACGAUGUGAUUUCUGCCCAGUGCUCUGAAUGUCAAAGUGAAGAGAUUCAAGUAAGCGCGGGUUAACGGCGGGAGUAACUAUGACUCUCUUAAGGUAGCCAAAUGCCUCGUCAUCUAACUAGUGACGCGCAUGAAUGGAUUAACGAGAUUCCUACUGUCCCUAUCUACUAUCUAGCGAAAUCACAGCCAAGGGAACGGGCUUGGAACGAUCGGCGGGGAAAGAAGACCCUGUUGAGCUUGACACUAGUCUGGCACUGUAAGGAGACGUAAGGGGUGUAGCAUAAGUGGGAGACAAAUGGAUCAUUUGAUUUAUUUGUCGACAAUGAAAUACCACUACCCUUAUUGUUUCCUUACUUACUUGAUGAGGUGGACGUGCAUCAUUUUACUUAGCCAUUUCAUAAAUGCACACCUCGUUGUGGGUAUUUUUAUGGUAUUUUGUGUUGGUGCGAAUUUCUAGCUCCGAAAUAUCAUGAGUUUUGUUAUUCAUUUUCAAACAAAUUUCGUUAAUACGCUGUAUUUUCAUUUGCCGGCGCGAUCUAUAGUAGCUUCGGCGAAUUAGAUCGCUCAGCGGACGGAGGUUGCGUAGGAAUUUGGUUUAGCUUUCAUGGCUUAGAUAUGAUUCAAAUCAAGGACACUGCCAGGUGGGCUGUUUGGCUGGGGCGGUACAUCUCUCAAACAAUAACGGAGGUGUCCCAAGGCCAGCUCAGUGCGGACAGAAACCACACAUAGAGCAAAAGGGCAAAUGCUGGCUUGAUCUCGGUAUUCAGUACAUACAGAGACAGCAAAAGCUGGGCCUAUCGAUCCUUUUGGUUUUAACGAGUUUUUAGCA